UGGUGGAGUGAUUUGUCUGGUUAAUUCCGUUAACGAACGAGACCCCUGCCUGCUAAAUAAUCAAAUGAGUGAUUUUUCACUGAUUGUGGCUUCUUAGAGGGACGUGCAUUUUAUUAGAUGCAGGAGGAUAGGGGCAAUAACA
rnacentral:rRNA from 1 species